AAGGUAUCGUAAAUGUCUAGGUAAUUAUUUUUUUUACCAAUACAGGUUGUUGGAACCGAGUAUUCAAUGCUAUCGAUUUCACUACAAGUACAAACUGCUACAAUACAAUCGCGGCUUAAGACUAUUUGCUAAUAUUUGCGACGUAAAUUAAGGCACAAAGAUACUCAUUCGUAUAAUUGAUCUAGUCAAACAAGCCAAAACCCAUGUCCUCAUCAGACUCUUCCUCCUCCUUGGCUUCUUCCUUCUUUUCUUCUUCGGCAGCUUCAGCAGGAGCGGCGGCGCCAGCACCGGCAGCAGUAGGAGCAGAGGCGGCACCAGCAGAACCAAUGUUAAGUAGGAGCUCCUUCAAGUCUUUUCCUUCAAGAGCUUUAGCGAAAAUAGUGGCCCAAAUAGGCUCGACUUCGACGUUACCAGCCUUGGUUAAAGACAACAGCUUAUCGGACUAGAAGUUUUGUUAGCUAAUUUGAAAGAAGACAUGUUUUGAAGAUGAUCGGAUGCGUUUAAAUAAAGUAUCUUUCAAUUUCAUUAAGAAAAUAUUAAGGCAUUGUAAUCGCUCAGCGACUCAAACAGUUAACGAAUCCAUAUUUUUUUACUUACAGUAAUUUCGAUGCCCUCAUCGGCCAAAAUAAGAGCGGCGUAACUAGUUGCAAGUUCAGAAGCAGACAUCUUAACGCCUUUUUUUGUGAUGAGUAUGUAGAUGGUUAGCUGUCGCUUAAGAAUCCGCCUUCAAGACCAUGGUGUCGAAACUUUCUGUGACUGUGAAAAUACU